CCAGGAAGGAUGUAUGUCUUUUAUAGAAAUCAGAACCAGCGCACAGUGGUGAAGUUGCUGUCUUCCCAAAGUGUCACAGGCACCAGCAUUGGAGGAGUGAGGAUUCUCAGGUUUCACAGACAAUCAGGCCCAAACUGUUUCUAGUCACUUCUCUACUGCCUUAGCCAAUCUAUUAAAAUGCCUGUGUGAUUCUGGAAAGAAAACAAGUGCCCAUGAAAAUGAGCAGGACUUAUAAACCCCAGUGACUAUAUUGCUGGGAGGACUGAGCUGACUUUCGAAAGUGAGAGUGGCAUGCAGUCCUUAACAUCUCUGGUCUUUAACAACUCCCAUGGAUACCCCU
rnacentral:lncRNA from 1 species